UUAAUUCGAUGAUACGAGAGGAACCUUACCUGGGCUAGAAUGCCUUUGCCAUCCCGGGAAACCGGGAGUUCCUUCGGGACGAAGUGCAAGGUGCUGCAUGGUUGUCGUCAGCUCGUGCCGUGAGGUGUUGGGUUAAGUCCCGCAACGAGCGCAACCCUUAUUCUUAGUUGCCAGCAUGUAAUGGUGGGGACUCUAAGAAGACUGCCUGCGCAAGCAGAGAGGAAGGAGGGGAUGACGUCAAAUCAUCAUGGCCCUUACGCCCAGGGCUACACACGUGCUACAAUGGCGCAUACAGAGGGUAGCUACCUGGCAACAGGAUGCCAAUCUCAAAAAGUGCGUCUCAGUUCGGAUCGAAGUCUGCAACUCGACUUCGUGAAGGUGGAAUCGCUAGUAAUCGCGCAUCAGCAAUGGCGCGGUGAAUACGUUCCCGGACCUUGUACACACCGCCCGUCAAGCCAUGGGAGUUGGGAGGACCUGAAGACAGUAACCGUCUAGGAGCUGUUUAGGGUUAAACCAGCGACUGGGGCU
rnacentral:rRNA from 1 species